rnacentral:rRNA from 1 species
GACGAACGCUGGCGGCGUGCUUAACACAUGCAAGUCGAACGGUGAAGCGCCUUCCUUUUUGGUGGGUGUGGAUGAGUGGCGAACGGGUGAGUAACACGUGAGUAACCUGCCCCCUUCUUCUGGAUAACCGCAUGAAAGUGUGGCUAAUACGGGAUAUUCUGGGUCUGUCGCAUGAUGGGUCUGGGAAGGAUAUUGUUUCGGUGGGGGAUGGGCUCGCGGCCUAUUAGCUUGUUGGUGGGGUGAUGGCCUACCAAGGCGGCGACGGGUAGCCGGCCUGAGAGGGGGAUCGACGGCCCUGGGACGGCGGCGACACCGCCCAGACUCCGAGGGGCGGCAGUAGGGAGGAAUAUGCAACAGUGGGAGAAAUGAUGAUGCAGCGCCGCGGCGGUGGUGAUGGUGGCCGGCGGGUUGUGAACUUCUUUCGCGAGUGAAGCAGUGCUGCCUCGUCUGUGGGUGGGUUGACGGUAGCUGGACAAGAAGCGCCGGCUAACUACGUG